AUACGUUGUUAUAUUUUAAAUUGUGCCUUCCAGAUUUUAAUUCAAUUUAUUUCUUUCAGACAAUUUACAAAUGAACAAUGUCGCAGAUAAAAUUGGUUCGAACAGAUUCACAGCUGUCGCAGAUGUCACGUGCGAGCGAAUCUAUGUGUGCGGAUGAUAUUUUAGUUGAAAGUUGGAAAGGAAAAGCCCAGCAACAAUUUGACUUGGAAACAAUUCUAAACCUUUCACAAAGUCAGGGUUUUAAUGAGACUCAGACACAGAUUGCUGAGACAUUCUACUCCGUAUCUCCUGUAAAACGACAUCAAUCCUUGAGAUUAGAUAAUCCGAACAAUCAGUAUCCGGAGAGGUUUUCUCCCGGAGUAAACCUGUUUCAGUCUGAGAGAGGAUCAAAAUUUUUCAAAUACGGAGACAUUGACAUAGAGAGCCUGUUUGACUACCAUCCCCGUGCUAGGUUGUAUAAGCGCGGUUUUACCGAUGAAAGAAUAAAUACUAUUCUCAAAGAUCCUGUUGUAUUAGCGGAGUCCCUCCAGGCAACCUCAGCUAGUAGUUUACUAAUAAAAGAUCAGACUGAAUACCAAAUAGUUCUGGACUAUUUGUUUUAUUCAUAUUCCGUACUUGCAGAUGACUGUGAUAGGUUAAUUAUAGAGAAAUGUAUCUCCGACCUCCUCCUGAACUACGGGUACAGCUGGAAGCUGAACCUGAACAAGAUAAUCUUGGUUUUAACCAACUACAGAGCUGACCCUAAACUAAUAUUCAAUCCCAAGUUUUACCAGGAACAUUUUAAGAAAACUCCUCCUAAGUCCAGCAUUCAGAUUUCCUGUUCUUGAACCAGGACCUCCUUUAGCACCUAAUGCCAUGCUCCACACCUUCAAGCUGAUAAAGAAUUUGAUAUUGAAAAAUCUGCUUGACUGUAAAACUUAUGAUGAGUUCAAGAUGAUUACAUGGAUCCUUUUCGUUACAGCUCAUGA
rnacentral:misc_RNA from 1 species